AUUGAACGCUGGCGGCAGGCCUAACACAUGCAAGUCGAGCGAGCGGCGGACGGGUGAGUAAUGUAUGGGGAUCUGCCCGAUAGAGGGGGAUAACUACUGGAAACGGUGGCUAAUAACGCAUACUAUCGGAUGAAGCCAUACUGGAUUAGCUAGUAGUGGGGGUAAAGGCGCACCAAGGCGACGAUCUUUAGCUGGUCUGAGAGGAUGAUCAGCCACACUGGGACUGAGACACGGCCCAGACUCCUACGGGAGGCAGCAGUGGGGAAUAUUGGACAAUGGGCGAAAGCCUGAUCCAGCCAUGCCGCGUGUGUGAAGAAGGUCUUAGGAUUGUAAAGUACUUUCAGCAGGGAGGCGUUACCCACAGAAGAAGCACCGGCUAACUCCGUGCCAGCAGCCGCGGUAAUAC
rnacentral:rRNA from 1 species